GUUACAAAAGUAAUAUAUACUAUCAUUAAUCUAAUGAGAUUAUAAACCCAAUAGCAUGUUAUCUAACUAAAUUGAUGAUAUGAAAAUGAGUUAAGUGAGAGUCACAUGACAAUAUUUUACAUCAAAUUUAGUUGAUUUUGUGUUUAUCAAUUAGUUGCCAAGUAAUAAUUCACGUAAGAGUGUUAUGUCAUCAAUUAAGUUGUCAAUAUCGUUUGAUCUCAAUGCUUUGUUUUACCAUGAAACUCUCUAAUUAGUUGUGACUCAAAUUUGGAGAAGUCAAAACGAGACAAUGUUUUAGAAUAGGAUGGAAGAUGCUCCAAGGAUGGGUUUCAUAUUUUGUCAGCAAGUUGUUGCCAUUGAGCAGAGCACUCAGUUGCAAAGGAGUUGAAAUAGACCAAAUUGUGAAGUUGAUCAUGUGAACAUAUGGGGGCUCAUUGUUCUCAUGUGUGGACUUAAUAAAUGGAAAGCUCUGCAAAGCCAUCAAGUCCAUUAAUACUAAUCACAGAACCAAUCUAAGGAACGUUAGUAGGAAAUUGAGCACUCGCUAGGCUAUGAAGUUUGGUGGGGAACUUUUGUUGCAAAAGAAGUGUCAUUUUGGGAUAACAUGUUUGAAUAAUGGAAGCAUUUCUAGUGAAGCAGCUGAAUUAUGAGUAUUAGAUGGGAUUUCAUAUUCUAAGAUACUAGCAACUAUUGUGUAGUCAAAAGUUCCAAGGCCAGCGGCAUAUGGUCUAACAGUCAUUAAGAAUGUGGCAUAUGGUAUAUUCAACGUUUGAUUUGAUGAUGUAAAAUAUUCAACGUUCACAUUAAUAUUUUUUCCAUAAUUAAUUUUCGCAGCUCAUGA